rnacentral:rRNA from 1 species
AACGAACGCUGGCGGCAUGCCUAACACAUGCAAGUCGAACGAGACCUUCGGGUCUUGUUGCGCACGUCUGCGUAACGCGUGGGAACCUACCCUUAGGUUCGGAAUAACUCCCCGAAGGGGGUGCUAAUACCGGUGAAUGUCUUCGGACCAAAGAUUUCUCGCCUUUAGGUGGGCCCGAGUUGGAUUAGCUAGUUGGUAGGGUAAAAGCCUACCAAGGCGACGAUCCAGAGCUGGUCUGAGAGGAUGCUCAGUCACACUGGGACUGAGACAAGGCUCAGACUGGUACGAGAAGUAGCAGUGGGGACAAUAGGAGCAUGAGCGAAAGCCAGCUACAGCAAUGCCGCGUGAGUGACCAAGGGGUUAGAGUUGUAAAGCGCUUUUAACCGGGAUGAUAAUGAGAGAACGGGGAGAAUAAGACCCGGUUACCUCCGU